GCUGGAGGGCAGUUGCAGUCCCGUUUGACGCUCUGUCCCAAGGUCUAGCUAGGACAGUGCCCGGCACACAGAAGUCGCUCAAUUAAUAGUUGUUGAGCCAAGGGCACCUAUGGGUCCGAGCUGUUUUCAGACCAAUCGCACGGUCUCCGGGGCAGGUCACAUCCCAGCCGCCUUGUGGGGGUCCCCUGGCUUAUCAUCUUCCUCCCCGAAAGGGGUGGAGCCUGAGAGACUGUGUUCUCAUGAAGCAGCUGGUGAAUUAGGGCCCGGAGAAGUUUCCCUGAAGUCUUUAACUCGCCACUGAGAUACGGUUCUAGAUAAAGGCAGGGCGAGUGGGUCGGGGCGGUGAGAGUCUCGGGCGCUCACCCCCUCACCCCUGUCCCUUCCUCAGGGGAAUUCAUUGGUAGCAAAAAAGAGGACUUUAGGAAAUAGCCGUGUUUAAAAGGGCCCUGCUUAAUGUUCCCUUUAAUUAGAAUGGGUUUCACUUGACAUUUUUUGCUGACCCGCCGGGGGAGGGGAGCCCCCGCCUGAGUGAUUGCCCACUGACCCCGGGAUUCCUGUGUCUCAGUUACGCCCCGUUUGUGGGCUCCCUCAGCAGAGUUCAAAAGAAUGGCUUUUUCUACAGUAGAGCAACAGCCAGAGCGCAAAGAGUCACUCCCCCUGGUCCGGACGCUUCUGUGGGAACCUGGGCCGGGACAUUCCUCUGAAAGAAGAAUGUGCACACGGGGGACCGCUGGGUCCCUGCCAAGCCUGGUCGUUCAACAGGCUCAACAGGCAGGGCCUGAGCCCUAGGGAAGCCAGGUUCCGCACCGCGCCUGGGGAUGGGGACGGGGCGGGGGGGGGGGGGGGGGGGCGGCAAGGUAGGCGUGCACCUGCCCCCGGGGCACUCUCACCCAGGCCGAGAGGUGGCCCCCGUGCCGCGGCGACUCUCGCAAGGUGGGACACGAUGUGAAAGGCCAAGUGCUGGGGGAGCCCAGGGGAGGCGCCUGACUCCAGCCGGGGCAGGACAGGCCUUCACAGGGACAGCUCUGUCUAAGGUGGGACCUCGCGUGAGUCAGGACGAGCGAGGCCGGGCUGCACUAACAAACAGGCUCCGGUCUGAGGGUCUCAACACAACAGAGUUCGGUUCUUUACUCUCGUCUCGGGCCAGCAAGGGUCUUCUUGGUGGGUCCCCUCGAGCAGCGACGCGGGGAUCCAGGUCUGUGGUGGGAGCGAGGCACCCGGUUCGAACUGCCUCGACCCGGAUGGCAUCUGGAGAGACCGAGGGCCGCAGUUCCAGGGAAGCUGAGGGAGGUUUCCCCUGAACCCAAGAAGAGGCAACGGAGUGAGACCCACAGAGCCCCAGGUCAAGCCGGAGAGUGAGAAAGUGAGGCACCGAGCAAUUCGACGAGGUCCCGGGGCCACCUGAGAGGCCAGUGGCUGGCCCGAGGUUCGACCCAGCCCAUCUGACCUCACAGCCCCCGCAGUCACGCCCCGGGUGACACGGCCACCAGGCUGGACGCGAAACGGCCGCCGGCUUUCCUGACGCGGGGUGCCUCGAGGACAGUCGGAGCCUCUAGCCGCCAGGGAAGGUACUGGCUCACGUCGGAAAUUACGCCUUGCGUGAAACCGGGGUCGAACCGCGCCCUGGCUGUCGCCCGCUGGCAUUCCCGGGGAACGAGACCUCUCAGCCUGGUCCCCGGGGCUUGUCGGCGGAAUUACCACGCCUGGAAUGUAGGACCCGCUGCCUUAGCUCAGAAGACGGGUGCUGAUUAAAAUAUCCUGUGCCACCAUGUGGAAACUACAGACGGGCGCCCACAGCCGGCCCCCUGCUGAGGGGCACAGCCGUGGGGCCAGGGUGACUCAAGGGCCCUGGAGGUCAGACUGGGAAGAGCGGACCCCACCAGUUGAGUCCGGUCAUCGCACGUGAGCCCUACGGCUGCCCUGCAAGCGAGUCACUGUCUCCAUCCUGCAGACGAGGAGAUGGGGCCCCAAAGCGGGAAAGCCACUUGCCUGAGGCCACCCGGCCAGCGCGUGGCACAGCCAGCCACAAACCCAGAGGUGUGGACUCUAUUCACCUCUUCCACAAAUACAUCUUGAAUCGGGCUUGUUCAGAGCCAGGUUCCGGCACAGGGGCUGGGAAUAAAUAAAUUUUAAAAAAUGA